AUGGCUAACUUUCCCAUCAAUGUCAUCCCCUACCUCCCGUCGGGCAUGACCGUAGAGCUUGGGCCGCCUGACCGCAGGGUGCGUGAUGAUAUGGUGAUUGGUCCGGUUCCUCCGUUGCGACAUGACUUCCUCACCACCGCUGAAGCAAACAGGGUCAUCCCCUUCCACCGCAAGGCCGAGCUCUGCCACAUCAUUGAAGGUUUGCUCCAUGGAUCUGAGUUUUCCCGACGGAAGUUGGUAACCACCCCCUUGGAGUUGGUAUUUUUGGAUUUACAAACACGGUCACUAGAGAUGCAGUAG
rnacentral:rRNA from 1 species